AGGCACAUGAGCACCACAAAAGCCAUGGCGAAGCCCUUGUCCACGUCAACAGCUGGCGGCGCCGCGGUGUUCUCCAUGCGGGUGGCCCUCAGGUGCUUGGCCCCGAGUUCCAGGCUGCCGGGGGCAUCUCUGCGGGACAGAGUCAGCUGCAUUGCCCAGGCGUCUGGACUGUGCAAUCCCUGCAGUAUGAGGUGCAACAGCGACACUGGGACUUGGCAGACACAGAAAGGACGGUGGCUUGGGUUAGAAGUGGGCUGGGAGUUUGUGUGGGCUGGGAAAAAUCACCAGUAAGCAAACAGGGGUGGUAACGGAGGGUAUUCUGAUUGCUUAAGAGACCUUUGUAGCAGUGGACAGAUAGAUUUAUACAAGGUUGGAGAGAAGUGGAGGCUUGUUCAGACUAGUGCCAGGAAAGCCACGUGGACUGAGCUGUGUGUAUGCAGGUCUAUCUCUAUAUUUAUGCGUUUAUAAAGCUAACGUAUGCUCCAGGAGCAAGUGAGCACAGCCUGGGUUAUCCCAAGGACGGCACAUGAUGCAAGAGGAUCUGCCAAGUCCUGCAGUGCCCAGAGAUUGCUGGAAGUCCCCAGGGCUUCAUGAAUACUGCAGGAAUGUGGCGACAUCACCUUUCAGGCACUCCCAGUAAUGGGAUCCCGCGGAUUAAAUUCUAACCCCCUUGAGCUGAAAAUAUUUCCCGUACCUGCUUU